GUGUCAGCCGCCGCGGUAAUACGGAGGAUCCAAGCGUUAUCCGGAAUCAUUGGGUUUAAAGGGUCCGUAGGCGGGUUUAUAAGUCAGUGGUGAAAUCCGGCAGCUUAACUGUCGAACUGCCAUUGAUACUGUAGAUCUUGAAUAUUUGUGAAGUAGCUAGAAUAUGUAGUGUAGCGGUGAAAUGCUUAGAUAUUACAUGGAAUACCGAUUGCGAAGGCAGGUUACUAACAAAUUAUUGACGCUGAGGGACGAAAGCGUGGGUAGCGAACAGGAUUAGAUACCCUGGUAGUCCACGCUGUAAACGAUGGAUACUAGCUGUUGGUUGUACAUUGGUACGAUCAGUGGCUAAGCGAAAGUGAUAAGUAUCCCACCUGGGGAGUACGCACGCAAGUGUGAA
rnacentral:rRNA from 1 species